CUUAAUGGUGAAGCUGGAGAGGGACACAUUUAUGUGUGCAGGUCACCUGUUGAGCCUGUCUGUCAACCCUUUUCAGCUUUGCCACCAAU
rnacentral:antisense_RNA from 1 species